rnacentral:rRNA from 1 species
CCCUUAGAUGAUUUGGGCUGCACGCGCGCUACACUGACCCUAACAAUGAGCAACUGUCUGGCCUGAGAUGGCUGGGUAGCCUUUUCAACCCAUGUCAUGAUUGGGCUAGAUUUUUGUAAGUCUUGAUCUCUAACGAGGAAUCCCUAGUAUGCGUGAAUCAUCAAUCCAUGCAGAUUAUGUCCCUGCCCUUUGUACACGCCGCCCGUCGCUCCUACUGAUUGGGUGAUCCGGUGAGCUGUUCGGCCAUAGCAAUGUUUCUUGAGCAGGGCAAUGAAUGUUUCGCAAACCUUGCCACUUAGAGGAAGGAGAAGUCGUAACA